CUCUACACGUUCGCUCGCAUGUCUCUCUCGCGUACUCUCUGGGAGCUUUUCAACCCCCCAACUGAGAGAAUUGCCAUCGCUCAAGUGGAGGCUUUUACCCAUUUAAAGGGUUCUCCGCUCUCUCAGUUCUCAGUGAAAAGCCACAGAGGAAAGUCCGCUUCACGGCACGCGUGGAAAGUGGCCCAAAGAAAGGAAAAUUUUCAUUAGCACACUUGAGUUGAGAUUUUUUCUCCCCGCCCAAGAAGUUCAUCGGUCCUCCUUUGGCUCUGAUUGAGGAGUUCCAGGUGCAAACGGAGGGUGUGCAAAGUGGCAGAAUUAAUUGAUACUCGAGGCAAAAGUUGCGUAUAGUGGAAGGCAUUAAAAACUAUGACACAUAAAGUGAUAUAAAUUGUCGCUCGACAUGCAAGGCCUCUGCACAAUCGAACCCUUCGACGCUCUAUCCUCACGAGGGUGUUCUUUUUCGGGCAUUAACUGGUGUCGUGAUUAAUGAGUGCAAUUACACGUAUAAUGGAUUGAGGCACCUGUGCAGGAAACUGUGUCAACUGUUGUGAAGAAACGCACCAGAAUAUAAUCUGUAACUUCAAUGCAAAUGGACUGCUGAUCGAUGAAAGAAAGUAGCAUGGCGAGAGAUGGAGAAAUUCCCGCAAUCUUCAACCCUCGUCGGGUUCGUGCACCCUCAGUUGUGGUCACUGGAGACUCCCCGAAUGGCCCCUUUGGCGGCUUCACGCCCAGCGGCACGACAAGUGGUCCGCCUCAGAUCACGCACUCGGACUCCGUGACGUCGAGUCAGCCCGAUGCCUCGGAUCACACCACAGCGCUGAUGCACUCCAGCGGCGGCUGCCAGACGCCCACGCCCACGACAGACCACGCAACGUGCCUGGCCUCGGCCACGCGUCCGCCGCGGAGUCGCUUGCGCUCCUGCCGUGACUCGUGCUGCUCCACCAGCGCCCAGAAGAUCUACUUCGGCAUGUGCGUCACGCUGCUAGUCACGGCCACGUGGGUCGGCGCCACGCACUGCAUCAAGUUUCUCUAUCUCACCCACAACUCCUACGCCACACUGCCCGUCAUCACGCGUUCAAUGGUGGGCGAGGCGAUCGCCAACACCACCGGAUUCAUCCGCACGCGUGACUCGCUCACGUUCUCAGCCGUGGGCUUCAAUGCGCCCUUUUUCGCCUCGUGGUUCUGCACGAACUUUGCCAUCUUCUUCUUCCCCAUCUACCUCUUGGGCCGCGUGGCCAUGAAGAAGUGCGAGGCUCCUGGAGAGAUUCUGGGCGAUGUGCUGAGAGGCUUCAGGGAUCGAGGAUUCACAGUCGGUCGCUUCCUCAACCGCUGCCUCACAUUCUGCAUGCUCUGGCUCAUCACCACUUAUCUCUAUGCCCUGUCGCUACGCGCUCUUCUGGCCACGGACGUCAUGGCGCUCUUCGCCACCAAUGUAGCCUGCGUGUAUCUGCUCUCAUGGGUGAUCCUGCACGAGCAAUUUGUGGGCGUGAGGAUCGUGGCUGUGAUCCUGUGCGACACUGGCGUGGCUCUGCUGGCCUACAUGGACGGCAUCACGGGCACUCCGACACUAGGCGGAGUGGUCCUGGCGGCGCUCGCAGCCGCAGGAUAUGCCGUGUUUAAGGUGAUGUUCAAGAAGGUGAUGGGCGAUCCGCCCGUCGGUGAAAUUGCCUUCACAUUCUCCUUCCUGGGCUUCAUGAAUGCCGCUCUGUUGUGGCCCAUCUGCAUUGGACUCUAUCUGUCCGGCACCGAAGUGAUGCCGUGGGAAAUAAUGCCCUGGAUCAUCCUCCUCAUGGCCAGUGUUCUCUUGCUCUUAUUUCAUCUCCUGACACAAUUCAGCACUGCCAUCACCUACAAUGUCUUUGUGACGCUGGGACUCAUCACAUCCGUGCCAGUUUCUGCAGCUCUAGAUGCAACACUCUACGGUGCAAUUUUCGAUGGCAUGAAGUUGGCAGGCAUUAUCCUGAUUGGGGUGGGCUUCUUCCUUGUCAUGCUGCCGGACAAUUGGCCUGACUAUAUUACAAGACUGUUGCGAAAAACUGGUCGUGCAAUCCUCCGAUACCAAUGUUGUUGCGAUUAUGCUGAAAUUGAUUACGAUAAUUCGGUAGGGAGACAAAACAAAUUAUCAAAAAAUCUAUCAAAUUUUCUCAUCUCAUAGGUCAAAAGAAUAAACCAACUAUUUGACCACUCAAUUGUUGCAAAUCUCAGUCAAAUUUGUAUUCAGUUCUCAUUGUCCUUUGUUUAUCUCUUCAAAAUUCUGAUUCUUUUGUAUACAUUUGUUUUUCUUCUCUCCUCAACUCUAUAAUAGAUAUUUUUAUUAAAAUGAUGAUUUGUAAAUAUGAUUGGUUUUCCUAAAUGGCAAUGUUUUUGUGCAAUUGAGUCGCACUGAAAGUGUACCUUUUGAUUUCCUUCCCCUAAAUCACAUGUUAUCUUUAAGUGACAAUUAUUUAAUGUAAAAUCUUAGGAUGAAUCUCUAUCAAAUGUACCAAAAAGUCUAAAUCCUCUCACAAACUUUUACACACCAGUCUCUCUAUCCCUCUCUCUCUCUCUGUAUAUUUCUCUCUCUCUCUAUCUUUCAAAUUCUAUCCAAUUCCGACUUUUCGUUCAACUUUUUUCUCUUCCUAUGCAAAGAGUAUUUCUGUUUUCGAUCAACCAAUUUUCUUUAGAGAUUUCUCAUAUCAAAUCAAAUAUCAAACAAGGAUGCAUGAGGCUUUUCGAGACUUCCUCAUGGACCACAAAAUCCUUUAACUCUCAUUGUCAAAUCAUCCACACGGACGGGAGAUAUUUUCUCCAGUGAGAGACAAUGAAAAGGCCAAAAGCGUUGAAAUGUUGUGCGAAAAUGUGGCAAAUGGUAAGAGAACUUUUACGACUUUUACACAAUUUGCAAUAACUCGCUUCCUUCUUCCGCAAAUUGGCUGCAGGCGCAGAGAGAAAGCUCAAGAAGCAACAUGCAUAUUCUUUUCUCUCUUACUUACAUUUUAUAUUAUAUCAAAUAAUAUGUAACUCAAACUACUUCAAUAUCUCACAUUUUUAUCAUUUUAUUAUUAUGUAACUUUUCCACUCAGCAAUUUCUUAGCAAACAACAACAUUAUAUAUUACUUCAAAUUCUAACUUGAUGACGCUAGAAUUCUUUUCUUAUAUUUCACAUAUUUCCUGUCUCUUUGUACAUUUCCUUUUUUUUCUUUUUUGGUUUAACAAUGAACAUAAUAUAAAGACUCUUUAUAUAGCAGCAGAAUUUUAUAUAUUGUCAUUUUCCAAAUGCCAUUUCUGCACUGAAAUGCUUAUUGUUUAUCUCAUUCGUUAUUCAGACUUCCUUUCGUAAUCUCGUACUAGUGAAUAUAUGAUCAAAGAAGCUCACACAUUUAGUUGUACUUCUCCUCGUUAUACUCAAUGUUACAACUCUCUUUUCACCAUUAUUUCCACCUUCUGUUUUUUGGUGUAGGAUUUAUUGUAACAAGUUCCUAUGUUGACAAUAAAAAAAGAAAGGACUUUUGUAUUGUGCUGCCGUAAAUAUUCGUGAAAAAAAAGAAAAACACAAUCGAUGAUGGACAAAAAGCUACAUUUUCUAAAAAGUUUCAUUUUCACUUUCAGAAAUAUCAUAUUGUUGGGUCACAACGCGAGACGCCAGGCAUUCCUUAGGCGUGACAUUGUCGUGGCAUCACCGCCCGCCA